rnacentral:rRNA from 1 species
UACGUAGGGGGCAAGCGUUGUCCGGAAUUAUUGGGCGUAAAGAGCGUGUAGGCGGUCCGGUAAGUCAGCUGUGAAAGUCAAGGGCUCAACCCUGGGAUGCCGGUGGAUACUGUCGGGCUCGAGUCCGGAAGAGGAGUGUGGAAUUCCUGGUGUAGCGGUGAAAUGCGCAGAUAUCAGGAGGAACACCAAUGGCGAAGGCAGCACUCUGGGACGUGACUGACGCUGAGACGCGAAAGCGUGGGGAGCAAACAGG